GGGCCCGUAGCUUAGUCUGGUUGGAGCACGUAACCUUGCCUUUGUUAGUUUAGCUUAGCCGACUGAUAAUCGGGAGGUCCUCGGUUCGAAUCCGAGCGGGCCCA
rnacentral:tRNA from 1 species